AUGCCUGAGCAGGUGGUCCGGUCAACGUCCUGCUCUCCCCUCUUAUCCAGCUCUGUGCUUGCGCUGUGCGAGGGCCGCGGAGAUUGCACCUCGGAGCCAUCCAGCGUUUCUGUUGAGCCGCAUGGAUCGUCAUCACUGCACCUGCAGGUUGGGAGGGCGGACGACGGAAAUGGGCUGCAGGUCAGUGGACAGACCAACUCGGAAGAGAGAGCUGCCACACGGUUCCGCCUGAUUUCAGAUUUACAGACAGUUGCUGGGGAGUCCACAGAACGGGUAUUCAAAAUGCAUGGAUUGCAGAAUGUGAGUGCUGAGCUUGAUUUGAGCCCUUCUGUCGGUGUGCUCGGUAGCUUAGUGAAUGACAUUAUUCCAUUCCUGCAGAGAGGGCAUGGGAUUGACCCAGCUGGGCCUGUGAACUCCACACGGACAUUACUGGUUGAGCAAAGAUAG
rnacentral:rRNA from 1 species